GAAAAUGAAUCAAAACUUUCAACAACGGAUCUCUUGGUUCUGGCAUCGAUGAAGAACGCAGCGAAAUGCGAUAAGUAAUGUGAAUUGCAGAAUUCAGUGAAUCAUCGAAUCUUUGAACGCACAUUGCGCCCGCCAGUAUUCUGGCGGGCAUGCCUGUCCGA
rnacentral:rRNA from 1 species